GUAAGGAAUAUUGGACAAUGGACGCAAGUCUGAUCCAGCCAUGCCGCGUGAAGGAUUAAGGUCCUCUGGAUUGUAAACUUCUUUUAUAAGGGACGAAAAAAGGCUUUUCUAAGUCGUCUGACGGUACCUUAUGAAUAAGCACCGGCUAACUCCGUGCCAGCAGCCGCGGUAAUACGGAGGGUGCAAGCGUUAUCCGGAUUCACUGGGUUUAAAGGGUGCGUAGGCGGGCAGGUAAGUCAGUGGUGAAAUCCUAGAGCUUAACUCUAGAACUGCCAUUGAUACUAUCUGUCUUGAAUAUUGUGGAGGUAAGCGGAAUAUGUCAUGUAGCGGUGAAAUGCUUAGAUAUGACAUAGAACACCUAUUGCGAAGGCAGCUUACUACGCAUAUAUUGACGCUGAGGCACGAAAGCGUGGGGAUCAAACAGGAUUAGAUACCCGGGUAGUC
rnacentral:rRNA from 1 species